rnacentral:lncRNA from 1 species
GAGAUUUGAGUGGUGUGUAGGGUCACGAGAAUGGAGUCUCAGUAACAUAGGCCGCUCAAGUCGAUUAAGGACCCAAUUGCAAUUUAGGUUUUGAUUUUAGGAUCCUUAGUGCAAAACUCAAGGGCGUAGUUGUAAACAUUGAAAAGUUCUAAGGGUCGUUUUGUAAAAGAGAAAAUUCAAGUUUGAAUAAACUGCAUAGAAAAUGGCUGAAAUUUUGGAAAUCCGUAUAAAAUCAUACAAAAUGAUAAAAAUAUGAAAUAAAUUUUUCUAGUUUCCUGAUGCUCAUAUAUAACUAGUAAAAAUAUUCAUUGUUGUGAAAUAUGUCUUUUGGGUUUCUUAACAAAAUGCAUGUUGUUUAAUCUCCUUAUUGUGGAAUAAAUAGUUCUCUUGCUUAUAAAAUCCUAAAAAAUUCACAGUAGCAUAUGUUAGUAUAGAAAACCCUUGUGUAAAAUUUGUGGAACUAAACUGAUGAUAGAACUCUAGUUAUAAAUCAUUCUUCAUGUCUGUAGUUU